rnacentral:rRNA from 1 species
CAGGCUGCAACUCGCCUGCACGAAGUCGGAAUUGCUAGUAAUCGUAGGUCAGCAUACUACGGUGAAUACGUUCCCGGGCCUUGUACACACCGCCCGUCAAACCAUGAGAGUUGGCAACACCCGAAGUCGGUAGUCUAACCGCAAGGAGGACGCCGCCGAAGGUGGGGUUGAUGAUUAGGGUUAAGUCGUAACAAGGUAUC